rnacentral:lncRNA from 1 species
CCUAAACAUACAGUGUACGAUACUCAUAAAUUGGGCAACUUCUAGAAUUCCCAGGAUGAAGAUUACAAUACAUUCUAGACUAGUAUAUAUAUAUAAAUUAAAGCUGUUUUCGACACCUAAAAUACUAAAGAUUUUUAACGGUGGAGCAGACUGCAAGACAAGCUGUAAAUAAUUACUUAGUUUGUACUAGAUUUGCUAAUAUUACAUGUACAUAUCCGUUUAACUGCUACUGACAAAUUUAAAUUACACAAAACUUGAAAUAGUCUCAUUUAAAAGUUGAUUACAAGAUAAAACCAUUGGACCCCUUUUUUCCCUUAAUAUAUAUAUACAUGUAUAAAAAAAAAAAUCAAUAAUAAUGAAAAUGUCCCAACCCUGAGACUGGUUGGUAGGGUUUGUGGCAAACAGCAAUAAGAAGUCUGUCCUAAAUUAGUGAUCAAUAAAUAUACACUUCUAUAAACUUUUGUCCUUUAAAUUGUGGUACUUUAUUGCAAAAUCUGUAUUCAUGCAGUACAUGCAUAUCUGAUUUUUUUUUUCAGGUUAUUAAACAAGAUAAAUAUUAUAAUGUUAUAUAAAUCGAUAGCGUCCUCCAUUCAAAAUGUGAUAAAUACCAAAACAACAUUUAAAAGUUUCAAUGUAAUAUAUUAUAUAACAAUUAUAUAGAAUGUAACCUCAUAUUUACGAAAGUUUUUUUUAUUUCAAACACAUGAUGCGGCAUCCCAUCAUUGUAAGGCCAUAUAAAUUUGUAAAAGUAACACAUUCAGCAAUUUUAAGUUUAGAAACUGAGAUAUAAACAAUAGUGUACACAAAUCUUUUCAAUCUAACCCAUAAGAUUAGAAAAAAGUUGUCUUAAUCUAUAUAAAUAUGUUUGUUUGUUAUAUGUUGUAAUCACAUGUACAUUUUGUACAUGAGGGGGUUUAACUUAAAAGUAAUAUACUGCUUUUAACUAGUAAAUCUGACGAUUACCUGAAAAAUUCUCAACUGGAUCAUACCAAUGCAAAGCUCUAGGGUUUGGCAUAAAUAACAUCUGAUGAUGAUUCAAUGUACAAAUGUAGGUGACCAAAGGAGUUGAGUUAGUGGCGUGAUGAGUCGUGAAUCCAGUCCAGUCUGGUAACCCAUCUGUAAAAACUGGUGUGUCCUUGUUGUCCAAGUCUCUGGUCCAACUGUUACAACCCUUGGCCGUGUUCUGUGGCCGAGCAAGGUCUCUAACUGAUCUACCCAACAUUGUGCUACAACUCAACAAAAAGUAAAUAUUAGUUCCACCAUGCUACAUAGCAUUGACAUAACAAAACCAAAUGACUGUACAAAGAAACAAUAACAAUUAAAAAUUAUGUAUACUCAUACAUGUAGUUGUGUCGAUAAUAGUUACAAUAAUUUAAAAAAAAAUAAUUCAAAAUUAGUAUAUACAUGUAUACAGAUUUAUAUAUUUAUUAAACUUAAAUCCAUAGUCAGUUGAUAGUAACAUAGUGUAAUAUUAGUAUAUAAUUGAGUUAUUACAACAAUAAUUCAAGCUGUGGCCUGUUUACAUAUGGCUAAAUUCUUGAUUUAACUGAACUAUUCAUACCAUAUCGACCUAGUCUAGGCUAGAGAGUAGUAGCAACUAAAAAAUGUAUACAUGUCACUGUGAUGAACGACUCUUGACAAUUUUUAGUACACAAAUGUGUAGGUACACGCAAAAUUUAUAGCCGGAUAUAUACAGAUAAUGAUAAUAUUUGCUUAAAUCCACCAGCAAGCUAACAUUUAGCAAUGAUUUCUUUUGGCUACUGCUUCUUAACUCCGGGUAUGGUCUCUGUUCAAGAUUUCCAAGAUUUUUUUGUUUAUUUGUAUCGAAAGUUGAACUUCCGGUUACGAACCUGGGUCCUUCGCCCCAAAGAGUACGUCCCUUUUACGUUCAUAUCCUUUCAUGGAAUAUUUGCUGUAUAUGUGCUAUGAAAGAUCUAGAUACACAAUUACCGAUGUAUACCCUCUUAAGGAAAAUUUACUUUUAAUUCGGAAGUUUUCGGGAGUUCAUUAAAUAACACCUGCCCCACAACACAUAAUCAUUAAGACACGUUACUAACCUGCAUGAUCUGUUACAGCGCAAAUACAAUUUGUUAGGCUUA